rnacentral:rRNA from 1 species
UAAGGAAUAUUGGUCAAUGGACGCAAGUCUGAACCAGCCAUGCCGCGUGGAGGAUUAAGGCCCUCUGGGUUGUAAACUCCUUUUAUCUGGGAAGAAAUGUACUUUUUCUUGAGUACUUGACGGUACCAGAGGAAUAAGCACCGGCUAACUCCGUGCCAGCAGCCGCGGUAAUACGGAGGGUGCAAGCGUUAUCCGGAUUCACUGGGUUUAAAGGGUGCGUAGGUGGGCAGGUAAGUCAGUGGUGAAAUCUCCGGGCUUAACCCGGAAACUGCCGUUGAUACUAUUUGUCUUGAAUAUUGUGGAGGUAAGCGGAAUAUGUCAUGUAGCGGUGAAAUGCUUAGAUAUGACAUAGAACACCAAUUGCGAAGGCAGCUUACUACACAAUCAUUGACGCUGAGGCACGAAAGCGUGGGUAUCAAACA